AACGAACGCUGGCGGCAUGCCUAACACAUGCAAGUCGAACGAGACCUUCGGGUCUAGUGGCGCACGGGUGCGUAACGCGUGGGAACCUGCCCUUAGGUUCGGAAUAACUCCCCGAAAGGGGUGCUAAUACCGGAUAAUGUCUUCGGACCAAAGAUUUAUCGCCUUUGGAUGGGCCCGCGUUGGAUUAGCUAGUUGGUAGGGUAAAAGCCUACCAAGGCGAGGAUCCAUAGCUGGUCUGAGAGGAUGAUCAGCCACACUGGGACUGAGACACGGCCCAGAAUCCUACGGGAGGCAGGAGUGGGGAAUAUUGGACAAUGGGCGAAGGGCUGAUCCAGCAAUGCCGCGUGAGUGAUGAAGGCCUUAGGGAUGUAAAGCUCUUUUACCCGGGAUGAUAAUGACAGUACCGGGAGAAUAAGCUCCGGCUAACUCCGUG
rnacentral:rRNA from 1 species